AAGUCGUAACAAGGUUUCCGUAGGUGAACCUGCGGAAGGAUCAUUACAAAUCUCUGAUAUUCACGAUUGUUGUGAGAAUAGAGUCAUUCUCACACAUCGACAUUACCAUAUUACCUAUUGACACUUGUAUAUAUUUACAAAUUAACCAAAGAAUACCUUUUAACAAUGGAUCUCUUGGCUCUU
rnacentral:misc_RNA from 1 species